rnacentral:rRNA from 1 species
UGGGGGAUAUUGCACAAUGGGCGAAAGCCUGAUGCAGCGACGCCGCGUGGGGGAUGAAGGCUUUCGGGUUGUAAACCUCUUUCGCUAUCGAACAAGGCCCGCUUAGGGUGGGUUGAGGGUAGGUGGAGAAGAAGCGCCGGCUAACUACGUGCCAGCAGCCGCGGUAAUACGUAGGGCGCGAGCGUUGUCCGGAAUUAUUGCGCGUAAAGGGCUUGUAGGCGGCUUGUUGCGCCUGCUGUGAAAACGCGGGGCUUAACUUCGCGCGUGCAGUGGGUACGGGCAGGCUUGAGUGUGGUAGGGGUGACUGGAAUUCCAGGUGUAGCGGUGGAAUGCGCAGAUAUCUGGAGGAACACCGAUGGCGAAGGCAGGUCACUGGGCCAUUACUGACGCUGAGGAGCGAAAGCAUGGGUAGCGAACAGG